rnacentral:rRNA from 1 species
AUGCAAUUCUCAUAUAUUCAUGACAUUUCCAUUUUACAGAUUAAAAAAAAGCAAGUUGUGGUGAGUACAAAACCUCCAGAAGAAUCGGUCAAGAUUUCUCUCAAGGACUGUUUAGCUUGCAGUGGUUGCAUAACAUCAGCAGAGACAGUUAUGCUUGAGAAGCAAAGCUUGGAUGACUUUGUUACUCGCAUCAACUCUGGCAAAACCGUCAUCGUAUCUAUGUCUCCCCAGUCAAGAGCAUCAUUAGCUGCAUUCUUUGGUCUUUCUCAGUCACAGGUUUUCAAAAAACUAACUGCUCUGUUCAAGUCGAUGGGCGUGAAGGCAGUGUAUGACACAAGUAGUAGUCGAGAUCUGGCCCUAAUUGAAGCAUGCAAUGAAUUUAUUUCACGCUAUAAGCUGAGUCAAUUGUCUAGCGACAAAGAAGUUGGAACAAGUCUUCCUGUGCUUUCAUCUGCAUGUCCAGGUUGGAUAUGCUAUGCUGAAAAGACUCUUGGUUCAUAUAUCUUGCCCUACAUCUCAUCUGUAAAGAGUCCCCAACAAGUGAUUGGUGCAGCUAUCAAGCAUCACAUGGUUGAAAAACUUGGUCUCAAGCCGUAUGAUGUGUAUCAUGUUACUGUGAUGCCCUGUUAUGAUAAAAAACUUGAAGCUGUCCGGGGCGACUUUGUUUUCUCAGUGGAAGAAAAGGAAGUUACAGAGGUGGACUCGGUAUUGACAACUGGUGAAGUGUUGGACUUGAUACAGUCCAAAUCUGUUGAUUUCAAGACAAUGGAGGAAUCUCCUUUGGACAGAUUAUUAACAAAUGUUGAUGAUGGUGGUCAUCUAUAUGGGGUUUCUGGUGGCUCGGGUGGUUAUGCGGAAACCAUCUUUCUUUAUGCAGCACGUGCACUCUUUAAUAGGGAAAUAGAAGGCCCACUUGAUUUCAAAAUCUUGCGAAAUUCAGAUUUCUGUGAAGUUACACUGGAG